rnacentral:tRNA from 1 species
GAGACGUUAGUAAAAUAAUUACAUAGCCUUGUCAAGACUAAAUUGCAGGUGAAAUCCCUGCACAUCU